rnacentral:rRNA from 1 species
GACGAACGCUGGCGGCGUGCCUAAUACAUGCAAGUUGAGCGCUGAAGGUUUGUACUUGUGCCAACUGGAUGAGCAGCGAACGGGUGAGUAACGCGUGGGGAAUCUUCCUUUGAGCGGGGGACAACAUUGGGAAACGAAUGCUAAUACCGCAUAAAAACUUUAAACACAAGUUUUAAGUUUGAAAGAUGCAAUUGCAUCACUCAAAGAUGAUCCCGCGUUGUAUUAGCUAGUUGGUGAGGUAAAGGCUCACCAAGGCGAUGAUACAUAGCCGACCUGAGAGGGUGGUCGGCCAAAAUGGGACUGGGACACGGCCCAAACUCCCUCGGGGAGCAGCAGUAGGGGAUCAUCGGACAUGGGCGAAAAUCUGGCCGAGCAACGACGGGUGAGUUAAAAAAGUUUUCCGGUCGUAAAACUCUGUUUGUAGGGAAGAACGUUGGUGAGGGUAGAAAGCUCAUGAAGUGACGGUAACUAACCAGAAAGCGACGGCUAACUACGUG